rnacentral:misc_RNA from 1 species
UUAUUCUCGAAUCGCUCUAGUACGAUGGAUAUUGUCACUAGGCUGGGAAUACAUACAAGAAGCUCUCUAUCUCUUUCUCUUAGUUAGCCAGGUUAAACUUUAGUUUUCGAUUCCGCGACUCUGAGAAUCACAAACUAGAAAUAUCAUAAGAAAAGAGAAAAGAAAAUAACUAAAAGAGGGAAAGACUCUUUAUUACACGAGUACGAGCGUAGAGUAAGGAGCUGUAGUUGGUCGCCUCUCCUU